ensembl:lncRNA
AGGAAAUGGCAACCCACUCCAGUGUUCUUGCCUGAAGAAUCCCAGGGACGGGGGAGCCUGAUGGGCUGCCGUCUAUGUGGUCUCACAGAGUCGGACACGACUGAAGCGACUUAGCAGCAGCAGCAGGCAUCCUCCUCCGGGGGGCACCUGCAGCCCUAGCGAGGCCGAAGCUGAAGGGUGCAACUGGUCUCUGCACUAUCUGCAGCCCUGCAACUACCCUGACCUGCAUGAUUCCACACCGAUUCCAGAGAACUACCAGGCUGCAGAGGCUGAAGGCACAG